AUCUCCACACGUUACGAGACAUGAGUGCUGUCAUAAGUACGAGUGGUACGAGCAUAUUCUGCUUGAUGUGAUGAGGGAAGUUACAAAAUACCAGGAUAAGAGGAAUGAUGGUAAACUGAAAUUCCUGAUUGGCGGUCGUCUACCAAUGCUUCCGAUUUGAUUGUGGCAUCUUUGCUAUUCUAUACAUGGAGAAUUUAACUUCCAAGGGGUUGAAGCCAUUUAGUACAGACACAAUCUCCUUGCUCAACUUCCGGAAGUACAUUGCGGCGAAGCUUUUCAAACACCCGCAAAACACCCUCAGCUUAGAGGAUGAGUUCCAAGCCCUGCUGAAAAAGUCGUCGAUUGAAGUCAACCGUCGACCGCAACAAGACCUAGCUAGUAGUUUAGGCCUAUUUUUUCGGUGCAUGUGUGUGCGACAUGUUUGUAACCGAGCUCUCUAGUAGUCGAUGGAAUUAAAGCUUUUUGGAGAAGAAUGUGUCAUGCUGGGGCAUGCCUCCUUUUCCCUCUUCUUGUUUGUAUGCUGGAGCUUUAUCGAUGCAACCAUUUGUCGCUAAUGUUCCGGUGUUGCACAGCAAUAUACAGUGUAGACAUGAUAAAUAAAUUGGUAGUUAC